GGAUCAAGGAGUCGGUCAUGCCUUGGUAUGUACUGGUCUCACUGAUUCCUCCUUCCUGAUGAACCGUAAUGCCAUUAAUUUGGUGUUGCGGGGAAUUUGGACUGUUACUUUGAAAAAAUUAGAGUGUUUAAAGCAGGCGUCCGUCUGAAUACAUUAGCAUGGAAUAAUAAAAUAGGACGGUUUGGUUCUAUUUUGUUGGUUUCUAGGAUCACCGUAAUGAUUAAUAGGGAUAGUUG
rnacentral:rRNA from 1 species